CUUGAAGGUUAUCAUCUAGAAUUCUUUCAUUCUCUUCCAACUCAAAGGCUUUGAAAUUGGAAAAGGUUGUGACAGCCAAUGUUGCCCUUAAAUAGGGUUAACAUGGACAGAAAUGCAGAGAUGACUGAUUUGACUUUGGUCACUGUCCUUUCCACCAGUACAUGCCUAGCAAGCCAGGACAAUAUGGAAUAAAGUUAUGGGCAGCCUGUGAUGCACGUUCCAGUUCUGCUUGGAACAUGCAAGUAUAUACUAGGAAGCCAGCUGGAGGAGCCCCGGAGAGAAAACAAGGCAUGCGCUUCGUGUUGCAGAUGACGAAGGGCUAAGGGGACACAAUGUGACCUGUGACAACUUCUUCACAUCUCAUGAACUUGGUCAGGGGCUCCUGAAGAAGAAAAUCACAAUGGUGGGCACUGUGAGGCAGAACAAGCCUGAGCUGCCACCUGCUCUGAUUGCAGCAAGGGGGAGAGACAUCUUCUCUUCUAAGUUCGCUUUCACCCGUGACACCACAGUCGUCUCGGAUAUGCAAAAGAAGAACAAGAAUGUCAUCCUUAUGAGCACAUUACAUAAGGUUGCACUCAGGAGAGCAGAAAACCGGCCAUCAUCCUUGACUACAAUGCCAACAGCGGGGUGGACAACCUUGACAAAGUAACAGGCACAUACAGCUGCAAGAGGAGAACAGCCCGCUUCCCUCUCGCCGAAUUCCAUAACAUCAUUGACAUAUCAACCUACAAUGCCUUUGUCAUAAGGAGUGAGCUGAACCCUACCUGGAGGGCAAGCAAGAGGAACUGGAGGAGGUUCAUAUUGGAGGAGCUUGGAAAGGCCCUUGUGACUCCUUUCAUGCGAAGGCGACACCGCCUUCCCCGCACAGCGGCCUCAGCAGCACUGGAAAGGGCAGAGCAGCGAUCCGAGCCUGGCCCUGAUCAACAGCAAGUCCCACAAGAAGCCAACGCAAGGGACCAGUAGAGAAGGAGAUGCAACUUCUGCUCUGCAAAUCAGGGACAACUUGCUGCAAAUGUGAGAACCACAUAUGCAAGGGCCACACACGCAAGGUUUCCUACCACUGCUUUGAAUGCGAUGACUAGUUUGCAAAUAGCAGUUAUUUUUGUUUUGUUUGUUGGUUAAAUGUUAGUUAAUGUUGAAUUAAUAGUUAAUAGUUAUAAUUAGAUAGUAGUUGUGAGGAAUUUUUUUUAUGAUAUAGCAAUGAGGACAGUGUUUGAUGGUUGUAAUUGUUAUACAGUAAAUGGUUAUAUAAUAAACCCCACAGUUCCAGAAUGUUAUUGUCAUUUUCAGUUUCAAUAAAAUAUAUUUAAAUCA